rnacentral:rRNA from 1 species
GACGAACGCUGGCGGCGUGCUUAACACAUGCAAGUCGAACGGUGAAGCCCCUUCCUUUUUGGUGGGUGUGGAUGAGUGGCGAACGGGUGAGUAACACGUGAGUAACCUGCCCCCUUCUUCUGGAUAACCGCAUGAAAUUGUGUCUAAUACGGGAUAUUCUGGCUCUGUCUCAUGAUGGGUCUGGGUAAGAUAUUGUUUCGGUGGGGGAUUGGCUCGCGGCCUAUCAGCUUGUUGGUGGGGUGAUUGCCUACCAAGGCGGUGACUGGUAGCCGGCCUGGGAGGGUGGAAGGUCAGACUGGGAAUGAGACACGGCCAAGACGCGUACGGGAGGCAGCCGUGGGGAAUACUGGACAAUGGGGGGAAGAAUGAUGGAGCGAGGGCGCGUGAGGGAUGGGGGCAUUCGGGUUGUGAAACUAUUUCGCCAGGGAAGCAGGGCUGCCUCGUUUGUGAGUGGGUUGACGGUAGCUGGAUAAGAAGCGCCGGCUAACUACGUG